CUUAAAAGGAUAUUUAUUAAAAUGCGAUAUAAUUUUCAGGACUUUUAAGAAAACUAGGGGCCCCAAUUCUAUCCCCCGCUUAGGGCCCCGAGAUAGAUAAAUCCGCCUCUGCAUGUAAACAUUGUAGAAACCCUAAAAUCAUUGCGAGAGUUGCGAGUAGUAUCAUCUACUCGAAAUCUUAAGGUAUUUUUAAUAAUCUUUAUCUUUUAUUCAUACUUGUUUUUGUUGAGCGAAAAAACUGCCUAGGCUCGCAAGCUAUGAAAUGCGGCGCUGGGGCUCUUAACUUGUAUGGCGUGCGAGCCUUCGUGCGCCCUCGCAGAUCACUGUGAAUUGCAUGGCGGGGUUUUUUAAUUGUGAGGUUAGAUUUAUGGUUCCAGUGUGAUUGUUAUAAAAUAUAUAGUUAAUGUGACAUCUAUACGUAUCGACGGACUGGACUAGACUGACCUACUUUAUUACAAAUAUAAUUUACACUUGAAACUCACAUCUACUUCUACAUAUUACUCUUAAACUAAAACCUCACGCAUACACUACAGAUAAAAAUUAUGUUACACAUAUCACUAAAGUUCACUUUUGUUCAACGAGUUCAUGAAAAACUAUCGCCUAUCAUCGAUCGAGUAAGAGAACAGGACCUAUUGUGUUAAUCAUGUUAACUCUGUGCAGACCUGCUUAUGUUUGGGAUGUAUUUAUUAUUCAGAAAGAACGGCUUCGGUCGUAUUGCUUACUAUGUUUGCGAUAGACAAAUAGUGAACAAUUGAACCAUUUAUACAUUUUUUCCUAUAGGUUCCUAUACGUUCUCGAUUCACCUACUUUUCUAUAGGCGUGUCUCAAAUGUUUUUGUAUGAAUGGUCUGUCCUGAACUCUUCUGACUGCGUUGUUAUGGUGUAGAUUAGUUUGCUGAGUGUGUAACGGUAAAUGUGUUGUUAACUCUGAUAGUGUGUUUUAAAAUAAAUUCUGUAUAGCAUAUAUGAUACUUCAGCAACAUUCGGUCAUGUAGCGGCGUGGCAAUAAAUACAAUGGACGCUAGUGUUGGGGACAAAUCAUGGGGACAUAGGAAGAUGCGAAUAAAUGUACCAUAGUGUUGCGGAAAAUAGAAGCUUCAUGUGUUACGGUAGGUACGUGGUGGUAUGUAAGAUGUUUCGCUAGUAACCCUUACCAGCUAAUUACCGAAACGGACGUAGAAUUCUCAAAAUUUGAUAUAAACUAGUUAAAAUGGCCCGGUUACAGGGCUACGCAACGUUUAUUGGGACGUAUACGUCUUAUCAACGAUAUAAGAAUUGCACUUCAAUCAAUAAUUUUGUUGUAGAAUCCUUUGUAAAAGAAAUUUUUUGUGUGCUAAUAUUAUUUCAAACAAACAUUGCAGUGUAUAUGAUUAUGAUUUCAUAAUUUUCUUUUAUUCAAUGUACUACAAAUUGAAUUGUGGAUGGUGUACCGGCUGGAAUAAAUAUUUUUUAUCAAAAUUUACACUGUUUGCGAUAAAUUUACUUUACCUUUCGGGUCAUAUGUUCCAGGUAACAUCAAGUCCCGUGGUAUCUUGGCAUACGCCUUAUCGAAUCCCGGGAAUGUCGUAUGCCGUACGUCGUAUGACUCACGUUGAUGCAGAGCAGAAAUUUUGCGAACUCUUUCCGCUCUUCAGCAUCUUGAACAGUUUAGGCUGUCGGCACACGUAUGUUUUCCCGCAACACAAUACCUUACAUUUGCCCCUCAGCAUGCUCCACCGGAUGCACUACUGCAGGACCUGGACGUUGGUACCACGCGGAACGAUUGACAGUAUCUGUCGAAAGUCGCCACAUACCAGCACCACCUUAUCACCGAACUUUCGGCGGUUUCCCAUAACGUCCUGCAGGGCGCGAUCGAGGGCGCGAGCUUCUAGAGCAGGGGUCUCCAAACUACGACCCGCAGGUCGCAUGCGGCCCUCAAGAGCCUAUUAUGAGACCCGUGGCAGCUUUGUGAAGGUUAAAAUAAAUAGUUAAUUAUUGUUACUAUUUUUAAAGAAAUUCCAUAUGAUCAGUGAUGCCUGUUACAUCAAUUCGGCCUGUGCUGACAUAGAUGUUACAGGAACUGUUAGCGUCCAUGUUUAGCGAUAGCUUGAAUAUAGAGUGUAGCGUACGUCCCCCGGUCAGUAGCAGAGCAGCAAUUCCACUCGGAUUCACUGCUAUUGCAAUUUCCGAUUAGAAUCGCGUGUACGCAAGUAUAGUUUCGAACAGAAACGGCUUCCCGGUGUCCAUCAAUGAAAAAGAUCUGUCCAUGUGCCUAAUCUCGGCUGGAUUGUUCUGUCAAACCGUAGCUAUCCACGGCUGCGGUAAUUACAUCGUAAUUCGUCAUUCGUUGUUUAAUCGGUUCACGUAUACUAAUAUGUAAUCCAGCACAUCGAUAGCAUAAAAGUGCUCAUCGUCCACCAAGGAAAAUAUUUCGGCAACGGAUAAGGCGCAUUGUAGCAGGUCUGGUCCUAUCUGCAUAAAGUCGGAUAACUGCGGCAUACAGGAAACAUCGUCAUCAUCUUCUGCGGUGCGAUUUAGCGCAGGUGCUGAUCAAUGAGUCGCUGCACUUCGAGGUGCUUGACAGUUCGCAGCAGCCGAUUCUGCUCCGAGUGUGUACAGUGCACCGGCUCUGAUUUUGUCCUUCAGAAAAUCGUUUCACUUUUGCGUCCUACAACAAAAGAGGAUUCUGGGACAUUACCUCCGACAAUAUAAGGGCAAAUAAGUGACGCAGAUGUUGAGAAUUUCAAAUGAAACUGCUUUCUGUAGGUUCCUGGAUAUGUUGGUGUCGUCCUGCCGCAAUCCAGACAUCAAAAGUACACCAUGCGGCCAAUGACGAUAUCAGUCUGGCAGCGGUGCGUGAUCCACUGGCUGCCCGUACUAACAUACCAUGGAAGCUGCUGCAAUAAAUUUUAAGCUUACUUGUACGUAUUUAAUCUUUAAACUAUUUAUAUCACUUCAUAAACAUUACACAACAUAUUAUUAUUCGUAUGUUCGUUUGACGAAAACAUCCUUGUCGUCUUUCGUCCAACGCCUACAUCGAUGAAUCGCUAUGUCGGUACAAAGUGUGUAAGAAAACCAACACGCUACAGAAAUCAUCCAAGCUAUCCGCCCCUAACAUCAACUCACUAACCAACAUCGUCUCACUAUGGAGUGAAAAAGUAACGCUCUAUAGUGAGAGAUUGAAAAUGAGAACCUUUUUGUAAAAUUUGUUAUAGGAUUGAACUGGCUGGUAGUCUGACUGUAUCAGUUCCGUUUGGAGUCUUGUUUGGUACAGGCGCAAAGAAGCAUGAUAAAGUUUUUCCUAAUUUUGACACUGGCGCUGGCACUAGCUAGUGCCGAAACGACCGAGGACAAGGAAGAUAUGGCGCCAGAAGAGAUCAUCGAGGAGAUCAAGGCGAGCGACGACACUCCUGGAAUUUAUAAGGGACGUCUGCUUGGAUUUUCUUACUACGAUACAGUUCACGGACCACAUCGAGAUAACUCGCACGGUGAUAACCGUCCACCUAACUUCGCUCCAUAAAAUAUCGGUUACGAAGGUGGUGGCUCUUAGGGCGCUUAUGAUGAAGGUUAUGGUUAUGUAGGCUAGUAGGCAGGUGACACACUAACUUCUACUGCCAGUCCAAACCUCACGAAGUCUCACAAAUUUUAAGAAAAACCAGGGCCAUGGGCGUGUCAACUCCACGUCCAGACAACUUUCUGCGAGUGAGUCUUGUUUAUCGCUUGUUUUGCUUUAUCCGUUGUUUUGCUGUAGCGUGAGAUAAUUUUUAACUUUCCAACACCAAGGGGAUAAAAAAGUUGAAAAAAAGGUGAAAAAAGUUUAAGACCUUCCCGCGAAGCAAUGCAAGGGUUUUUUGAGAAUCUAUCGCUCUAAUUCAGUAGUUGUCUCGCUUCCGCGUAGAACAGUAAUAGCUAGCCAAGCUUUCAACCUCCCUUCCCCGCCAUGCAAUUGACAGCGAUUUGCGAGAGCGUGCGAGGGCUCGCACGCCAUACACGUUCACCGCCCCAGAGCCCUCGCAUUAAAGAGCUUGCAAGCCUUGCUAGUUUUUUCACCCCUAGUUUUACUGAUUUACGACAGUGAGGUCGCCGUACAUCUCGUAUAGCUCGUCAUUAUAGCGGCUCCUCCAUUGUCCUUUCACACAUACGGGGCCAAGAAUCCUUCUGAGCAUCUUCCUCUCGAACGCGGCUAAGAGGGUUUCGUCAGAUUUGGACAGUGUCCAUGUCUCACAGGCGAAUGUGAGUACCGGUACAAUAUAGGUACCAUAUAGUCCCAGCUUUGUCCGUCGCGACAGGUUCUUUGAGGUGAACUGAUUUUUCAGACUGUAGAAUGACCCGUUGGCAGCCAGCAUCCUUGCGCGCAACUCAACUUCCAUACUGUUGUCGUUGCUGACCUUUGACCCAAGAUAGGUGAAUUCUGGGACGACUUCAAAAGUGUGUUAACCUAUCUGCACGUCACGCCUACGUAGAUUCGGAUUAUUUAUUGGUAGGUACGCUGAUGUUGCCACCAUCAGUUUGGGCUUUGCCUCGUUUAUCUGCAAUCCGAGGCUCUCUGCCGCCUGCUCGAUCCCUUGGUAGGCUUCUGCUACAUAGGAGAGCCGCAGACCAAUGAUGUCUAUAUCAUCAGCGUAUGCCCAGCGGCGGAUCAAACGGUAGACGGACUAGGCGGUCGCCUUUCUAUAGUAUGCCGUAUGGACAGAGUACUAGCGACAAGGGCCCCGGAAGGAUGGCCGAUGGGGCCCCGAGGCUGGCGAGGGUUCUGGGGCUGUGAACUAGGCGAGCCCUCGCACGCCCUCGCAAAUCGCUGUCAAUUGCAUUGCCGGAAGUGUUUUCAGUGCAAGCGAGCAAGUUCCCUGCACAAUUCUUAUCGAACGUUUUAAUUCAUGGAAACGUGGUCGGUGCUAACAAACGUAUUGUGAACAAUACAAUUCGCGCGCGUUAAUCAAACGGAGUGAGCGUGUGCGCGAGUGAACAAUUCUCUCUUUUCGGGUAAGGCAAAAAUUCCGCGUUUGUUAAUCCGAGUGUGAGCAUGUGUGAGUGUAUGCGAAGAAUACUAUCCGCGAGUAGUAAUCCUAAUGUGUGCGUGAGUGUGUGAACAAUAAAACCGCGUGGUUUGAACUCAUUCUAAGGGUAGUGUACGGGACAAAUUGUACAAUUUACGAAUAUUCAGUGCUGUGAAAAGUGUGUUUUGUGUUUGGCGGCGUUUGAGGAACAAGACGCGUCACAUCGUGCAUCACAAGUGCAAGCUGCAUCAGACAGCGAUCAUGUCCUAGCCAACCCAAUACUGAUGGCAGCCGUGGCAAGGGAAGCUUCGGAGAGUGAUUUUGAACGUUUUGAAUCGGUAAAUUCGAAUCAUACUUUCCCAACAGCAGAAAUGCUGGCUGAGAAAAGGAAGCGAAUGCGUCAGCAUUUCGCUCAAAGGUUGGACCGCAUUGAUCAAGCACUACCGCAUGCAACAAAAGCGGAUGCCGCUUUUUUGAAAGGAUGUGCGUCACGCUUGUCGAUGCUAUCCACGGAAUAUGAAACAUGGCACACCAACAAUUUGGUUUCUUCUUCCACUGCACAGUUCGAACAAGAAGAAGAAGAGUACGCGUCGUUCGAGAACCGCCAUUUUGAGCUUUCGUUAGCAAUUGAAAGAAACUUGUCAUCAAGUGUAGUUUCCUCACCAACACGCGAUACCAUGCCACACACAAAAUUCCCUGAAAUGCGCUUGCCAACUUUUGAUGGAAAAAUGGAAGAUUGGUUAUCGUUUGGAAUUGCCUUUCUCAGUCUUAUAGAUCGCAAUUCGAAUUUAGCCGACGUAGACAAGCUACGAUACUUAAAAGGCUCUCUUCAAAAAGAUGCUCUUAACGUCGUAGGAGACAUCGAAAUCACCGACGCAAAUUACUCUGUUGCAUGGGAAGUAUUGAAAUCGCGAUUCGAAAACAAAAAGCUAAUGGUGAAACAAUAUAUUGACGGAUUAUUUGCGAUACCACACAUGAAAAAGGAAUCAUACGAAUCACUGCUUUUUUUUAAUUGACAGUUUUAAGCGUGGUGUUAAAAUGACGACUAUAAUGGGAGUAGCCACGGAAAGAUGCAGCGUGCUCUUAGCCCACAUGGUCUGCUCUAAAUUAGACGUGGCCACACUUAUUCAAUGGAAAAUACAUCAUAGUUCAACGGAUAUUCUCACAUAUGACGGACGGAUAUUCGAGGUCAUGAAAUUCCUUCGCAGCCAAGCAACUGUUUUGUAAGCUAUGGCUCCAGACAGGAAUCGAACCAGAGAAGCAACAACAGCUGGAGGCAGACUGAAAGCCCGUAACGAAGUGUACAGCGUAGUUAAGCCGGCCACAAAGGUUUGUUCAUUCUGCAAAAGGGCUUCACAUGUGGCGGACCUGUGCGAAGUGUUUCGAAAUGCAUCUGUGGAAAUGUUAUGUCUACGUUCUCAACUUGACGGUAAACAAACCAUAUACAGUCUCAGGUGAUAAAACUUAUAUCUAUUACAUUAAAACUUAUAAUCUACAAAAGCUUAGACGGAGACCAACAAUCCUGUUACCAACGGCAAUGAUACAAGUAGUGAAUGUUGACGGAACACGUAUCUGGGCUCGAGCUUUGCUGAAUGAAGGUUCACAGAUCAACAUUGUUACGGAACGGUUGGUACAUCUAUUGAGAGUCCAGAAGAGGAACGAGCAUCAUCUGCUUGGUGAUUUAGUGUGCCUGGUUGCAAGGAAGCAGAAAUCAUCACCAAACGCAUUGCGUUAUCAGACGCAGCGAAGUUGUUCGAUCCUCUCGGACUGUUGGGACCAGCCAUUGUAGUAGCAAAGUGUUUCAUGCAGGAGCUCUGGAAGAACGAAAAGACCUGGGAUGAACCUUUGGAAUCUGAGCGGCAACAAUUCUGGUUACGCUUCAGAGAACAACUCGCUGCUCUGACUAGCUUGACAAUUCCACGGCCAGCAAUUGGUGGAACAGUGCGAAUUGAAGCCCACGGAUUUAGUGAUGCUUCACUACGGGCUUAUGGCGCCUGAAUCUACAUACGAGCAGAAUCAUCAGAUGGCAAGGUCUCCGUACGGUUGUUAUGUGCCAAGUCAAAGGUGACACCGAUUCCUAAUACCAAACGGAAGAAAAACGUGUCCCUUCCAAGGCUCGAGUUGUCGGGAGCACUGUUACUAUCACACUUAUGGCAGAAGGUAAAGCAAGGUGUGAAAUUGGAGCUUAAAAUCAACUUCUGGAUUGAUUCGACUAUAGUUCUUCAUUGGAUUUCAAGCAGCCCUUCCCGUUGGAAGCAGUUCAUCGCGAACUGAGUUGAAACCCACAAGAGGAGUUACGUGGAGUUACGUGGCCAGCGAGCACAAUCCAGCUGACAUUAUUUCCAGGGGAAUGAUGCCUUCGCAGCUCAUAGAUUCCCAACUUUGGUGGCAAGUCAAGCUUGGCCUACGAACAAACCCAAUACUGAAAUUUCCUUGGAAGACUUGGAAGAGCGAUCGAUAGUAGCCACAUCUCGACAGGUACCGCCAAAUUUUCUGUUCGAGCUUUCUUCAUCUUAUGAAACAUUUGUGCGACUUACGGCAUAUUUGCAGCGAUUCAUUUACAAUUGUCAACCGACACACCGCGGGCAUUUACGAAAGGGGUUUCUAAAAAUAGAUGAAUUAGUGUCAGCGUCUCUAACGCUCGUUCGUCUGGCCCAACAAGAAACCUUUGCUGAGGAGCUUCGGGACGUUCGACAAGCUGGAGCGAUUAAGCCGAACUCCAAACUGAAAACGCUAACACCUAUUCUGAAAGAGGAUAUCCUACGUGUGGGUGGUCGUUUGCGAAACGCGCCUGUUUCGUAUGAACGCAAACACAUCCGAUAAUUUUAGCGUUUUCUCAUCCAUUGACCCUACUGAUUGCGCGUUCUUAUUGUUGUGACCCGACCUGCCCAUCUUGCGAUCGACGUUACUACAGUCAAUCACCACUGACAGUCCUGCCAGCGUGUCGAUGUGUUAGUGAGAGCGGUUCGGCAGGACAGGGCAAUGAUCGCUCGCCAGGCCAACGAAAGGGAGCGAUGGUGCCGAACAAUAUCUGCAUGCGGGACAACAAGAGCUUAUAUCUAGCCUGCGCGAGAGAUUCUGGCCCCUUCGCAUACGCAACCUGGCACGAAAGGUUGUAUAUGAAUGUGUAAGUUGUUUCCGAUCUAAGCCAACAACAACAGAGCAAAUCAUGGGAGAUUUGCCCAGCGAACGCGUAAACCCAGUUCUCCCAUUCUACAACACCGCUGUGGAUCUGUGUGGUCCAUUAUUCUAUAGACAGACCAACAAGAAGGCUGCUCCAAUCAAAUGGUAUGUUGCUGUUUUCGUCUGCCUUGUGACCAAAGCAGUACAUGUGGAGCUUAUUGCCGAUUUGUCUACUCUAGCCUUCAUUUCUACAUUGAUUUCUACAUUCAUUCUACAUUUCUACAUACACCUUCAAUUCAAUUCAUCCCUCCGCUGUCACCCCAUUUCGGUGGCAUCUGGGAGGCCACAGUGACGUCGCAGAAACGGUAGCUAAAAGCGACGAUAGGAUCCAGUAUCUUACGGCGGGACGACCUGGAAACUAUCUUAGUUCAAGUGGAGGCUUGCUUGAACUCGCGACCGUUAACUGCAUUGUCCAACGAACCAAAGGACCUGGAAAUGUUGACGCCGGGUCAUUUUUUGAUUCAACGGGCGCUAACAUCGAUCCCUGAGCCAUCUUAUGCUGAGAUUUCAGGCAACCACCUGGACCGCUAUCAACAAUUGCAGGUGUUCAGCGAAUUUAUCUGUGCAUCUUAUCUUAUUUAUGCAAUAAAUCUUAUCUGUGCCGAUCGAACAUACAUUAUAUUACUGCAAGAAUAAGAAAUUAAAAAAAAUCAAUCGCACACAAACUUCGUGUCGCUAAAAAGCCUCCGCUCUCGUUCAGUUUUGUCCAAAUGUUCAACAACAUAAUUCUGAGGAUCCGUAAUUGCGUCGCUUGUCAUCAGUAUUUCAGUUCCUCCCUUUAAUUGAAUCUCGUUUGCAUUGAUAGAAAUUCAUCUAGAUUCGUUUGGAUGUCUUAUACGGGAGUCAUUUGAACUCAUCCAGACCUAAUCGGAGUCGUCUGGACUCGUACAAGCCCGUCUGAAGUCAUUCGGAUUCUUCUGGAUAUAUUCAGAACUCGUUCGAAAUAGCGAAGUCAAAUCCAGCUUUGAUUCAGCAUAGAAUUCAGUUUUUCAAGAGUCGGAGUCUGGGUAGGUCUACGACUCUACUACACAUUACUGUCCGUCUGGUCCUGUUGUUAGCUGGGAGACACUGCUGUUUCACUCACUACUCGGACGCGCCAUUUUGAGAGAUCUCACUCAGCAAUCAUAUUUCCAUAAAAUACUAGUUAAAUAUCAAUAUCUAAGGCCUUAACGUUAUCAAUAUUUACUGCGAUGAUUGUUUCAAUUAUGAUUUCUGUGGUUUUUUUUCAGUUUGAAGCAACUUCUGUGAUGAGCACAGAGGUUUGCAUAACAGACAGGCUCCCGAUCGGAUAAACUCCAGUGACGCGCGUGGUGAGCUUGGCUUUUUGAAUCUGUUUGCCGAAAAGGGAUUACUCAUCACAAACCUCAUUCAUAACAUGUUGUUCUCUUGCGGGUUUAGCUGUGCUCAAGGUUUGCAAUGGAUUGGUUGGUAACUUCUCAAGAAUUUCCAGAUGGGUUAAGAUUUUUGUAUUUUUGAAUUACAGUAGAACGUCGAUUAUCCGAGGGCGGAUUAACCGGCGGGCGGCUUAACCGUGCUUAUAAAAUGUGACAGCUGUUCAAACGUACGGCGAACAUUUGCAGCGAUAGUCAAGAGGAAACCCAGUUUUUUGUGCAUCUCUGUAGAGUCUAUUGGUAUUUUCGAAAUUAAUUUUUGUUCAUGAACAGCUGUUAAACCUAUAGUUAUUGAUUAAAAUAACAUUCUCCUAACGAUUAAUCCAUUGGUUCAAGGCGAAUUUAUCAUAAAACUAGUGAAUUUUAUAAAUUUUACAUGGAUUUGACAUUUCUUGGGCGAUUAUCCGUGCAAAUCGAUUAACCGGCAACAGUCCAGUCCAGAGCUGCCCGGAUAAUCGACGUUCUACUGUAUUUCUGAAAUAGCCGAUUUAAAAAAAAUUAAUUUAAAAACUGCUUGAACGAUGCCAAUAAAUCGUGGAAAAUAUGUGGGAACCGAAAAAAUACAAUGAGAAACUCUGUAUUGCGUACAGCCUGUAGAGCCCUUAGCUUAUGUUGUGAUUAUAAAUACGUAACUUUUUUUUUGAAGGUUAAUUUAAGAAUAUUUAAACCUCGUUUUAAACAGAAUCUGCACCGACCAUAUUGCCCACAUUUUUGAAAACUGUGUAUCAUUGGUUUAUCCGAUUGCUUUAACAAUACUGCUAAAUCAUAACAUGCCCGCAUACAGCAUUAUCUAUAAAUAGACUUGAGAUGAUUCACAUGGUACGCUAUCCAAAUUUCGGUUGGAUAGGUUAAUUCAUGCUAGCACUGUACACGCAAAUAUGUCUGCUUCUAGGUCAAGCAUCGCUAUAAAUUGAGCACUAUAAGACUCGGAAAUGCUUUAUAGCAGGUUUAUCAUUAGGAACGUCUGAUAAACCGACCAUGGGGUUCAUUUUGUCGGACUACAUCCGCGCACUAACCCACAAUCAAUAUUAGGUUUCACUAUGUCCAUAACCUAAUAUAAAGUAUGUCAGCGUAUACAACAUAAUUUUAGACGUUCUUUGAAUUUUUGUAGUAGUAAAAAUUGUAAUUGUAAAUUGUGUUGUUUUUCUAAAUCAAAAAUUGAUGUUUGAUAAAUAGUUUUCGGUUGACGGAGUAAACAAUAAACAUUAAUCAUUCUCAUUAAUAAUAUAAUCUUAAUGAAAACAAUAACUUUAAAUGAUAGACGUACAAAACGCACCAUUUUGUACCGCUUUGAAUGGUAAUGUAAAUCUUCUAGUUUCGUUCGUUUAUUUCAAAGAUAGUUGCAGAUAAAAGUGAUUGCAUCUAGUUAAUUUGAUAAAUAUACAACCAUUGUGUGUUACUCUAAUAGAAAACUCUACUGCGAUCGUUGUAUCUUACUGAGAGCAGCCUUAGUAGAGGAAAGUGGGCUGAGUAGUGACAAAUCGGAAACCAAACUCAGCGACACCAACCCGAGUAGUAGCAACGAUGAAGUAUUAUGUCUUUCCUAUGUUGGCUUUUAGUCUUAUCAGUCAGUAUGACUGAGCUACUGCUAUUCUCUAUCAUGUAUAUAUAUUAACAUAAUUUCCUCCUACACGAUAUACGUUUAGAAAGCUUAACGAAUAAACGUAAUAAAUUACUUCUCACUACAGUUGCUACGUUUUGUCGGUUACGUCUAGCAAUGCUGCUAUUACCGUGGGUUUUUGGGUAGCAGCAGUAAUUGAUGCGACUAUUAAACGACGCAUUUGGCACUCCCAUAUGCGUAGGUGCCUCUAGGUGUAGCGAGAGUGCAUUGUAUGCUCACUUUCCUCCACCCUUCACAAUUUGGCAAGGAACUUGACGAUCGAGUUCGACACGAUACGCUCUACACACACCC